rnacentral:snoRNA from 1 species
AAGACUAUACUUUCAGGGAUCAUUUCUAUAGUUUGUAACUAGAGAAGUGUAGUUGAAAGUGUCUGACCUCGCUAACCACGAGGAGGAGUUAAAGUGUUCUCUUCUGAGCGCGAAGCGAGCAGACAGUGUUGCUUUAAUGCAGCUGCUGUCUGUUAUUGAUGACCGUUCCUUCUUCCNNNNNNNNNNCCUUUUGGGAAGCUGGGAGGGAGAGAACACAGACUGAGUGGU